rnacentral:rRNA from 1 species
UACAGAGGGGGCAAGCGUUGUUCGGAAUUACUGGGCGUAAAGGGCGCGUAGGCGGCCUGUUAAGUCGAACGUGAAAUCCCCGGGCUCAACCCGGGAACUGCGUCCGAUACUGGCAGGCUUGAAUUCGGGAGAGGGAUGUGGAAUUCCAGGUGUAGCGGUGAAAUGCGUAGAGAUGUGGAGGAACACCAGUGGCGAAGGCGACUUUCUGGGCUGUAACUGACGCUGAGGCGCGAAAGCGUGGGGAGCAAACAGG